AAUAGAUACCCUGGUAGUCCAUGCCGUAAACGUUGGGAACUAGAUGUAGGGCCUGUUCCACGGGUUCUGUGUCGUAGCUAACGCAUUAAGUUCCCCGCCUGGGGAGUACGGCCGCAAGGCUAAAACUCAAAGGAAUUGGCGGGGGCCCGCACAAGCGGCGGAGCAUGCGGAUUAAUUCGAUGCAACGCGAAGAACCUUACCAAGGCUUGACAUAUAGAAGAACACUGCAGAGAUGCAGGACUCUUUGGACACUUCUAUACAGGUGGUGCAUGGUUGUCGUCAGCUCGUGUCGUGAGAUGUUCGGUUAAGUCCGGCAACGAGCGCAACCCUCGUCCUAUGUUGCCAGCACGUGAUGGUGGGAACUCAUGGGAUACUGCCGUGGUCAACACGGAGGAAGGUGGGGAUGACGUCAAAUCAUCAUGCCCCUUAUGUCUUGGGCUUCACGCAUGCUACAAUGGCCGGUACAAAGGGCUGCGAUACCGUAAGGUGGAGCGAAUCCCAAAAAGCCGGUCUCAGUUCGGAUUGGGGUC
rnacentral:rRNA from 1 species